UACGGAGGAUCCAAGCGUUAUCCGGAUUUAUUGGGUUUAAAGGGUGCGUAGGCGGCCUAUUAAGUCAGGGGUGAAAGACGGUAGCUUAACUAUCGCAGUGCCCUUGAUACUGAUGGGCUUGAAUGUACUAGAGGUAGGCGGAAUGUGACAAGUAGCGGUGAAAUGCAUAGAUAUGUCACAGAACACCAAUUGCGAAGGCAGCUUACUAAACAAAUAUUGACGCUGAGGCACGAAAGCGUGGGGAUCAAACAGG
rnacentral:rRNA from 1 species